rnacentral:rRNA from 1 species
CACGGGGGGAGCAAGCGUUGUUCGGAAUCACUGGGCGUAAAGGGCGUGUAGGCGGUUUGGUAAGUGGGAUGUGAAAUGCCUCGGCUCACCCGAGGACCGGCAUCCCAAACUGCCAAGCUUGAGUAUGGGAGAGGAUGUGGGAAUUCCUGGUGUAGCGGUGAAAUGCGUAGAUAUCAGGAGGAACACCGGUGGCGAAGGCGGAUCUCUGGGCCAUUACUGACGCUGAGGAGCGAAAGCGUGGGGAGCGAACAGG